ACAAGUGGGUUAAAUAUCCUAAAGGCACCAGAUCCCUUCUGAUCUUGGAUGCUAAUCUGAGUCAACCUUGAUUAGUACUUAGAUGAGAGACUGUCUGCCAAUGAAUACAAAGUGCUGUUGGUU
rnacentral:rRNA from 11 species